UUGUUUCAGCUUCCAUAUCAAGUAAUUCAUAACCUUUUUGACUUGAAAUACUGUAUUGUCGUUGUUGUAUUCAAUGUUGUUCUCUCAGAGAUGUUUAAAAGAAGCCACUGCCAAGCUUUUCAAUGGGUGAAGAAGAAGAAAAAAAACAGAGUGUAUGAAUUUCUGAAACUGAACACAGACCAUGGCAGUGCAGUAAUAAUAAAAACUCCACAGAUUUUGGGCUUUCGGAUUAAGCCUUUAGAUACAGAAUUCUCAUGGGAAGCUUAAGAGCUCAUUGUUGGAUGGAUGGUCCUGAUGGUGUCAUGAGCAGCAGCAGCAGCAGCAGCAGCAGCAGCAUCAUCAUCAGAGCACCAUAUAAAGGUAUGCAUUCAUGAGGUGUAAAAGGUUCAUAGUAUUAUGAUGUUUAAUGGAGCCGAUGGCAUUCAAAGUGUUUAUUUAGGCCUUUGUGUGAGUGAGGGCUAUCAGUAUGGUCUUCAAUGAAUGCAUUGAAUUAUAUUAAUGGGUUUGUUUGUUUGUUUGUUUGUUUGUUGGGAGGGUAUCAUCGGCCUAGUACAUGAGAUCGAUAUUAGAUCUUCGUGCUUGAUUUCUGACCUUUGAAGUUUGGAAUUUGAAAUUUGAAAAUUUUAUUGA